GACAAACUGACACUGGUCUCCUUGCAAACAAAUCUUAUUCUUGCUUGGUGUCUUCUUCUUUUAUUCUAAAAGUAUAUGUUUUUGCAGAAAUUACUUUGACAUUGGAAUGUGCAUGGAGAUCCCCCAAAAGCAGGGAAUGCAGGAGGUACUAAUGCACACAAAACGAAAGGAAUCAACAGAAGUACAAGCGACCACUACUGACUGUAACAGUCUUUUUAUACUUUUUAUACCAAUACUAGUCAGACUGUAUUUAGCCUCAGAAACAAAUAACAGAGCUCGUAGAACAUGUAUAGGUGCAGGAAUUGAAGCUGUGUACUCCUGGAAGGGUUUUUCUUUGAGUACUUCACUUCUACCACAAUUCUUAAACAUGCAAGGAAUUGACUGACGGCCUUUCCAGCCUCCAUAAGGGUCCUUGAAACCCUCAAACUCAAGAGGGUGCCACUGAUGAAUGGACAUUUCUCCCAUUAAAAAACUGCAUGCCGGACAUGUUUUUCCAGAGGCACAAUGAAUUAAUAACAAAGACUUUAGAACUAAUUUUAUAUCAGUAAAUCAGUAAAGCCCAAGUCAAGCCCUGCCUGCACCUGUGAGGCAUUUAUCCAGUUAGUCCUUCCCAGUGUUUAAAGAAGAACUGAUUUUCAGAGAAACAUCCACUGAUGAGGACAUAUAGAGAUAAAUAUAGACAGUUUGACUGUUCACUAACUUCUAAUUUAAGAAGUGAUCUAACUGUCUGCUGUUGAAAAAAAUUCAGCAUCAGUGUGCUUUGACCCAUUUUAAAUAAAGCGAGAGCUUUAUUAAUCACAUGAUUAAAUAAAUACAGAAAGAGUGCACCACUGCUGUCUAGACGUGUAUCUCCAUCACAUUUUAGCACAUGCAGUUUUUUUUUUAUUUUUAUUUUUUUAUUUUUUUUAAGGGAAGCAGUUUUUGCUAUUUUGAAACACAGGUGUUUCAUCUUUAUUGACAUCCCAGACUUUGGCCCGCCCAUCGCAGUUUCUAUGUCCCAAUUGAGAGCGUUUUCAAAUGGUCUGCUUCUAAAUCAGAAUGACUUGAAUACAAAAUACAAAAAAAAAGCAUUUUUAUCAACAUUUUCUUCAUAUAUGUCCACCAUCAUCAGGAAAAUGUUACUGGAGCAUUUUAGAAACACCAAAAACACAAUUUCCAUUGAAAUUGGGCCUAUAAGUAAAUGUAAUCAGGUUAUCUUGGUAUUUUUUCAAAUUUGUCCAACUUUGAUUAGACUUUUAAAGUACAAAAAAAAGCCCAAAACCUCACAGGAAUCUGCCCAACGGUCUAUUCGGUCAUGGAGAUGUCAAGACAACCAGCCCACCAGGGCUGCAGAGUACUUCAAGCUCACAUCAAAUACUCUAUGAUGCUUUUGAAUUUAGUGGACAAAUAAAACUGUCUUGGAGGGCAAUUAUUGAAAUAGGAUCUAAAAUGUGUUUACACACGAGGCAUUCACCCCUCUUCCAAUUCCUAAUUAAAGAACUGGGACAAAUGCUUUAGAAUCCAGAAGGACCGGUCAACCGUGUGAGAGUUCCCCUUGUUUGGUUUGUUUUCGUUUUCUCGGCACAUGUUCUGUUUUCAUGUUUGUUGUUUUUCCUUCUGUCACAGUCACACUGGGUUAAAGUUGCUAAUUAUCCACAGCUGUCUUCAUUUAAGUUAAUCAUCCUCAGUGUUUUAAUGAUCUGGUUUUCAGUUCAGUUUUUCUAGCUUAUCUACAGCUUCCUGUUGGAGGUCCACUAUUUCAUGAUUGAGUUUACAUGGUUGUGAGAGGGUUAUGAAUAUCUUUUAAACGCAUUUGUUUCUGCAACUUUCCUGGUCUCCAGCAUUGGAAGGAGAGAAUCCUAGAAAAGCACCUUAUUUGGUCUUCUGCUUGUGGGUUCUCUACAAACCUCAAACCACAGCUCGGAUCACUCAGAACACUGUCAGCCGAGGAGGAUCGUAUAGAACAGUGAAGCUAUCAGAAAACACAAAGUGUUCCAUUAAACUCUGUGGGUAAUUCGGUUUGGAAAUGAGGCCUACACAAGAGCUUCAGCCCCUGCUGUCGCAGGAGACGUUCAUGGAGCCAGCAUGCAUUUAAGGUUGUUUUUUCUUUUUGCUUUCUUUUCACGCCAUUUCUUCUGCUAACUCAAACCAUUCCACCUUGGCUGCUGCCUUCUAGAGAGCAGGAGUUGUUAAUUGUGCUCUAGAUUGAAGGAAUUCUCAUGCACACCCAGAUAAGUGUAUGGAGUUGCAAACACACACAGAGGGGUUUGGGUUUGGACUGUUCCGACUGUUUGGGGUCCAGUAGUGAAAGCAGGAAGGUCUUAAAACUCUGUUCUCCUGAGCCUCUUAAAAUACCUUUAUUGACUUUUAUUGUGUGUUUGCCUGUGUGUGGACAUGAUUUUCUUCCUAAAACUUGUGUUUUGGCCUUAUUGUGUGCCCAUGACAGCAUUUUGUUGUAAAAUAUAAACCAGACGGCGUUGGGUAUUGUUUGAGGGCUGGGUAAAGUAUUUCUCCUGGGAUUACUGGGUGGACUUAAUGGUCUGGCAGAAAAGCUAAAUUGCACAAACUUCAUCUCCCAGUAAAUAAGCACGUCCUAAUAAAUCUCAUGCAAAAUAGUUGUAAAACAAAUGAUGUAGCAAAAUCAGCCCACAGGUUUGUGGUCACGGCUUUAUUAAAGGCAAUUACCAUCAUUUUAACACAAAGUAGCAACCUCAAAAAUAUAUUUAAUACUUGUAUAUCUAUAAUCAUAUUUGUAAUUAAUUUUCUGACAGAUGCAGGACUUUAGAUGCACACAGCCUCGCUUGCACAAUUCAGCAGGUUUGCACGUUCACACCCCCAAUCCCAGCAGGCUGCAGGGCUGCAGCUUUACCAAUCACAGGGCUCUGGUCUCGGCUCUCGCAGGGGAGCCGGCCAAUUAGAGAGGCCGGUAAUGCAGCACAUGUGAGCGGGGGCUUCAGGGUCGCCCAGCAGGAGUCGUCCUGAUUAUGAUCUGACAAUCUCUCUGGCUACUAACUGGAAGCACACCUUCCACAAAGGGACACGGAUGAACCAGAGACUGCUGCUGGGCUUCAGCUCACACUCCACCUCUGUGCCUCUGAUGAUCAGACAGACAAUGACACGAUGGUGCGCUCAAAUGACCAACUAUUGCUCGAUGUUUUGUGUCAAAAGUUCUUUAAAA